UUUAUAAUCGUUGUCCUUGACAAAAGCAGGCAAAGCUUUAUGAGAAGGGGGAGAAGAAAGCUGGAAAAAGAUUAAUGGCGAGACAUAAUUAGGAAAUUAACAGUUUGGUGGUGGUGAGUAAUUAAAUUUAACAACAUCAAGAAGUAGCUAUCAGUAUUCAGUAUCAGUGGUGGGUUUACCUUGUGAAACAAGGGAUGUCAGAAGAUGAAAGAGAUUGUGGGGACGACCAAUUAUGAGUCAAAACAACGAACAAGAGCAGAAAAGCCAAUUGGGAAAAUUGGGAAAAGAAAAAAAAGGGGCCUUGGUUUUGUGGGUAAAUGACCUCACUCUCAGCGUAAACACUGCAAAAGAUCAAUGAGGGUUUGUUUGUUUGUCUUUGUUUGCCAGCUUAAGCAUGGAGUAAAAGAGAGCCAAACGAGUUGCCAUUAUAGGUGCCCAAACACUUUCUUGCAACGUGGUCACUUGGCAGUUUCUACAAGGAAGGUCCACCUAGUGUGUUAUAAAGCUAGCAAAAAUUGGGCCGUUCUUGAAAACUUGAGAAUUGUUCCUACAUGGUGCCAAAUUGUGUUUGAUGAAAUCAAUCAUCAAAGAUAAGGAACCCUACAAAACAAGGGGGGUCUAAAUAAACAUUAUACUGGUGGAGCGUUCGCUAAAUAAACCACAAUCCUCAAAUUAGGGCUAGAAAAUGAAUUAGGGAAUGUAAUGAUAGAAGAGUUGAAGCUUGUAUGUGUCUUAGAAUGACUUAGUCCAAGUCCAUUGACUCUCUACACGUGAAAGGUUGAGCAAGAUUAGCUCUAUUAAGGUGAGUGUCCAGGCAAGAUUCACUCUUAGAUCCACAUCAAACAAAGAGACCUAAGUUGGAUUCACUCCUACAUUCACGUCAAACAUAGAGACCUAAGUUGGACAAGGUCACUAAUAAAGUGCUUUCCACAGUGAACAUGUUGAAGCAGUUUCAAGGGGGAGUCGUAUAGGUUAAGGAGAAUACUCCAAGAUUGUAUAGGUUGAGGAAUCACACUAGGUGACCAUGCAGGGGAAGUGAGGAGCUUUUCCAAAUGAUAAUGUCUUGUAAUUGAGAGGUUUCUCCUUCUUCUUUUUUUUUUUUUUUUUUUUUUUGGAUGAAGAUACAAAUAUAUAUGGAUGAGCAAAAUUACAAAAGGAAGAUAAAAUCUCCCGACCACCAUGGGUGAGUCACAAGAAAGCUUCCCGAGAGGAAAUUAAAGGCUAAAAUCCCUAAAAGGAUAGCAAUCAUCAAAGGAAAAAAACAAUCGUUUUACACCAAUAGAAAACAUUAAAAAACAUCAAACCAUGAUCCUAGACAAAACAAUAAUUCUAGAAAGUACCCUAAGAGGCCCAAGAAAAAAUUUCUAUUAUUUAGGACAUCAAAACAUCUAAAGUAAAAUUUCAAUAGAAGUAUAAUGGCCAUCACAGAUUGUCCAACUAAUAUGUAUAUAUAAUACAAACUAUAUUCAAAACAACUUCAUGUUUUCCAAAACAAAAGCACCAAGAAAAACGUGGUUGGAUAACCUAUUUUUUGAGUGAGUUUAUUAAUCUUCCAUCACUUAUUUUUGGAAAGUAAAAUAAAACAAAGUACUAUCUCUUGCACGAUUUUGGGAAUACUCAAAUUAAUGUGGACAAUAAUCUUAACUAUUACAAGUUAUUUGAUCAAACUUUUAACGAACUCCUUAAUCCCACAUCACAAUUCAACAAAAGCUAUGAUUCUAAAACACUCUUGUGCAGCAACAUAAGAAACUAAAAGCAGAUAAUGUUCAUUUGUCACAUGACUGCAAGACAGUCUCAAAU